rnacentral:rRNA from 1 species
GGAUUGCCCUAGUAACGGCGAGUGAAGCGGCAACAGCUCAAAUUUGAAAUCUGGCCCUUGGGUCCGAAUUGUAAUUUGUAGAGGAUGUUUUUGGUGCGGUAUCUUCCGAGUUCCUUGGAACAGGACGCCUUAGAGGGUGAGAGCCCCGUACGGUUGAAUGCCUAGCCUUUGUAAAACUCCUUCGACGAGUCGAGUAGUUUGGGAAUGCUGCUCUAAAUGGGAGGUAAAUUUCUUCUAAAGCUAAAUACCGGCCAGAGACCGAUAGCGCACAAGUAGAGUGAUCGAAAGAUGAAAAGCACUUUGAAAAGAGGGUUAAAUAGCACGUGAAAUUGUUGAAAGGGAAGGAUUUAUGACCAGACUUUUCCUAGGCGAAUCAUCCGGUGUUCUCACCGGUGCACUUCGUUUAGUUUAGGCCAGCAUCGAUUUUCGGGGCGGGAUAAAAGCUUUAGGAAUGUGGCUCCCUCGGGAGUGUUAUAGCCUAUUGUAUAAUACCGCCCUGGGGAUCGAGGUACGCGCUUCUGCAAGGAUGCUGGCGUAAUGGUUAUCAAUCACCCGUCUUGAAACACGGACCAAGGAGUCGAACAUUUGUGCAAGUGUUUGGGUGUUAAACCCUCACGCGUAAUGAAAGUGAACGGAGGUGAGAGCCCUUUCGGGGGUGCAUCAUCGACCGAUCCUGAUGUCUUCGGAUGGAUUUGAGUAAGAGCAUAAAUGUUCGGACCCGAAAGAUGGUGAACUAUGCGUGGAUAGGGUGAAGCCAGAGGAAACUCUGGUGGAGGCUCGCAGCGGUUCUGACGUGCAAAUCGAUCGUCAAAUCUGCGCAUGGGGGCGAAAGACUAAUCGAACCAUCUAGUAGCUGGUUACCGCCGA